AGAAUUUUAUUGAGUAAUUGAUGUAGUUUAAUUUCAAUACUUGUGAUGUUCUAGUUUAGUUAAAGAAUCAGUCUCACUCACGACGCUGCCACCCGUUACCCAUCCUAACCCGCCGCCCCGCACCGUACCGUCCAGCCUCGCAACGGACGGCCCGGACCUUGCCUCUCUGUCACUCAGCAACUGCUCCGCCCGCGCCAGCAGCAGCAGCAGCCACCCCGCGACCACCCCUCGCCGCCGCGCCAACGGCCGCCUCCGGCGUCGCUGCAAGUUGAAUAAGUUGGAUUUUGUCAGAAAAUAUUUGGAAGCAGCAAUGGCAAUGGCUAAGCACAAUAAGAGAAUCUUGACAUCAAUCAUUCACGUCAGCCGUUUGUUCUCUACUGUUCCCUUUGACCCUCCACCCCUUUCAGCGUCUCGUCGAGUUGUUGUGACAGGUUUAGGGAUGGUAACUCCUUUGGGCUGUGGUGUGGAAACUACCUGGAAGCAUUUAAUGGAUGGGGAUUGCGGAAUUAGGGCAGCAACUAUUGAAGAUCUGAAGAUGAAUGGAUUUGAUACGGAGACAAAACAGCAAACCUUUGAUCAAUUGACAUCAAAAGUUGCUGGAGUUGUACGUUGUGGGUCCAACCCAGGUGAAUUUAAUGAGGAGUUAUGGCUUAACUCUAAGGAUCAUAGGUCGAUUGCCAGAUUCAUAGGCUACGCAUUAUGUGCUUCCGAUGAGGCUCUAAGAGAUGCAAAUUAUAUCCCCACUCAGCAAGAUGAGAAGGAAAGCACGGGAGUCUCCAUAGGUGCAGGAACUGGUAGCAUUAGUGACAUAUUGGAUGCUUCAAGAAUGAUUUGUGAGAAGAAACUGCGCCGGCUUAGUCCAUUUUUCAUCCCAAGGAUACUAAUAAACAUGGCUUCUGGCCAUGUGAGCAUGAAGUAUGGAUUUCAGGGACCAAACCAUGCUGCAGUGACAGCUUGUGCUACUGGGGCACAUUCUAUUGGGGAUGCUACCAGAAUGAUUCAAUUUGGUGAUGCUGAUGUUAUGGUUGCUGGAGGGACUGAGGCAAGCAUUGAUGCUUUGUCUAUAGCAGGAUUCUGUAGGUCAAGGGCACUGACAACCAAGUAUAACUAUGAACCUAAAGAAGCCUCAAGACCUUUUGAUUGUGGCCGCGAUGGAUUUGUAAUAGGUGAAGGUUCUGGCAUCCUCGUUCUUGAGGAACUCGAGCAUGCUAGGAAACGAGGAGCAAAAGUGUAUGCAGAAGUCCGUGGUUAUGGGAUGUCAGGUGACGCAUAUCAUAUCACCCAACCACACGGUGAUGGAAGAGGAGCAGUUUUGGCCAUGUCACGUGCUUUAAAGCAGGUAUUAGAUUCAUAUUUCCUUAUCAUCAUUAGGUCAUUGAUAUAUGUUCCUUGUCCUUUCUGUGGUUGGCAGUCUGGCUUGAACCCUAACCAGGUGGAUUAUAUCAAUGCACACGCAACGUCGACUCCUCUGGGUGAUGCGGUGGAAGCCAAGGCGAUUCAGUCUUUAUUUUGCAAUCAUGCAGCAUCAGGGAAUUUGGCUUUUUCCUCCACAAAGGGUGCCACGGGACACCUCCUUGGAGCAGCAGGAGCUGUUGAAGCAAUAUUCUCCAUAUUAUCCAUUCACCAUGGGAUUGCGCCCUUAACCCUUAACCUCACUAAACCAGAUCCCAUUUUUAAUGGUGAUUUUAUGCCUUUGAGUGCUUCAAAGAUGAUGAGCAUUAGAGCGGCCAUGUCAAACUCUUUUGGCUUCGGUGGAACGAAUUCGUCGCUGCUCUUUGCUGCUUUAGAUUGAAGACCUCACAUUUGCUGGAUUUCUCUACAGUUCCUUCUCACUAGUGUUUUGGUGUCCUUGAUCAUAACAUAGUCAGAUAUGUUGAUUGAAUAUUCUAUUUCAUUCCUUUUGGAGCCAAUCUACUUGUCAAUGUUGUCAUCAUGUCGUAAAUGUGUGUGUGUGUGUGUGUGAGAGAGAGAGAGAGAGAGAGAGAGAGAGAGAUCUAUCACUACAACCCAAUUGGUUAUUCACGAUUCUGGGAGUCUGGAACACCAGAGGAGAAUGGAGAAGGACCCGGAAAAGAAGAAGUAUCCGGGCGGGGCAUUCGACCCGCUCGGCUGCUCCAAGGACCCGAAAACGAAGAGUACAAGGUGAAGGAGAUCAAGAAUGGUGAGAUUGUGCGUUCAGCAAUGAGCAUACCCGGGAACAGGGCCGUUGGAGAAUUUGGCGAAGCAUUUGGCACAACAACAUCGGCGACAUUCUCAUUCCUCUUUCCUAAUUACACACACACCAUUUGUAAAAUGUCGAAUCCAACUCAAAUCUUAUUUCUCCACAAAUUCAAUACUUUCGCUAUUUCAUGA